GGGUCCUGGCUUCCAUGCUCCAGCGCUUUGGCGUAUCACUUCUGAGGACCUAGAGAAAGGAUUCAAGCAAGGUCCCAUUCUGCCUCUCCCCUGUGUCCGUGGCAUGCAGCUAGCGCAUGGUUUGGUCCAGUCACGCGUGUCUGCUCGAGGUGCUGUACAAACACAUGGAAAAUGACAACCCCUGUCCCGAAGACCUUACAGUCUGUGCAAAUAGGUAAAUUCUACGUGAUUCGAGUUACAUGACAGAGAAGCAGGACCGAAGUCCAGUUAUCCAAGCAAUCUCCAUCAGACCUUGACUGGUACCAAGGCAGUGAUCUACUGAUGGAUUAGCUGGAAAUCAGCACUUUGAGUUUCAUGCCCAGUCCCAUUGGAGUAACCCAGGAGUCUGGCAGUUUGUGUCAUCAACAGG